rnacentral:tRNA from 2 species
UGGGGGAUCGUCUAACGGUAGGACAUCAGACUCUGGAUCUGAGUGUCUAGGUUCAAAUCCUAGUCCCCCAGCCA